GGCUUCCUCAACCUCAGCCCUCCUGGUGUUUUGAGACUACAAUUUCCAUUAUCCCUGACCACUGGUCCUGCUAGCUAGGUAUCAUGGGAAUUGUAGGCCAAAAACAUCUGGAGGGCCAAGGUUGAGGAAGCC
rnacentral:miRNA from 1 species